rnacentral:rRNA from 1 species
AUGAUGCAUGUAAUGGCAGAGUUCUAUGGAUCUGAGAUGAUGGUGCCGUUCGGACCAAAGGCAAUAACAAAUCUUUGUACAAGUUUCCGUAGAGAUGACACAAAGGAGGGUGAUCUGAUUGAGACAAUUGCGCACUUCAAGGAUAUACAAAAAACCGAUCCAGACUUCUUCUAUAAGGUGAAAUAUGAUGAAGAGGACAGAGUUGUGAACAUAUUUUGGGUGGACGGCUUAGCUCGAAAAGCUUAUGCGGAGGCGUACCACGAUUGCAUAUCGUUUGACACCACCUACAUGACCAACUUGUACAAUAUGCCAUUCGCGCCCUUCAUAGGAAUAAACCGACAUGGCUAA